ensembl:lncRNA
CCCCGCCGAGGGAUGCGCGUUCGGGUCAAAAAUUCACCUCGUCCGUGGGAAUCGCUCCAAAGUCCAGCGGGGCCGUUUGCGGGGAGGGGGCCUCCGCUUUUCAGAUGCGGUGAUUUCUCGGCACCUACGCGCUAAAGGGGAGGGGGCGCCUCGGCUGGGUUUAAUCUCCUGCAUCCAAAGAUAGUCGCUAGGCGGAGGGGCCUGCCUGCGCCGAACGCCCGCGGUGUUCCGCGAGGCAGACCCCAUCCCGCUCGCCGGGAAGGCGUUUGAAGGGCAAAAAGGCAGCUCCAUCUGCGGGGUUGCCGCAGCAUUCCGCCGCCGAGCUCCUUCGCUCGCGUCCCCGCGGCGUUGCCCUGCGCGUGCUAUAGCAGCCACCCUCCGCAGGGCGGGCACCCGGAGCUGGGGCUGCACGAUGGGGAAGGCACGGUGAAAGACAAGGCCGUGUUAUUGCUGGGAAGCAGCAGGUAUUCCAGCACGGUGCCACAGCUCUGCGAUACGGGCGAAGCGUUGGCUCUAUAGAGGCACCUGCUGGCUGAGAGGAACACACGGAGCAAACAACAACAACAACAAAAUAAUAAUAAGUCUUUGAUUUCGGCCGAUCUUAGACCCGUUCUGCACUUUGUUCACGUUUAAACAUGAAUAAAGUGUUCCCCUCGGAACGGGACAGGGGGAUGCGCCUAUCCCGUGGAAGGCCGGGAGUGUCUCUGAAGAAACAAAUAUCCGUCCAAAACAACUGGAGUUUCCCGUAUUCAGGCCGCGAUUGCCAAGAAACAUCCUCCAAGAGACAGGGAGGCCGCAUGCAUCCCCCAGAGGAGCAGAGGGGAUGUUGAGCUGCUGAAGGUGAGCAAUUUAUGAAUGAAUGCAGCUCUGCUGCAAACAAGCUGCAGUUUCCCCCCUCCCUCCGGAUGGAUGAAAUCCCCAAAGCUACUGCGCUUCGGAAAGUCCCACACAGAAACCCAGCAGAAAAGAUUAAAUCCAGCAGUGCAGAGGGAGAGCCUUACCCCCUUAAAGCUACAAUGUACUGUAAAUAAUGUACAGAACCCAGCUUCUAAAAUUACCACUACGGGAUUGCUCACGGCAUCUUAGGUUUCGUCUGGAUCCUGUGAUCUUCCCACCUGCCAACAUCCUGUUACCAGGAGAGCGGUGCGUGUGAAGGUUGUGCAAAUGGUCAUGCACUUGCACGAAUCCUGGCACGAGCGUGGGCACUCAUGUGCCUCCCGUGUUAGAGUUACACCGUAAUAAAUACGGGGACAGGAGAUGCUGACAUUGCCACAGGAUCCGCAGCGCUCACCAAAAAAAGCAAACGCGUGCCUGUGCCGCGCCGCAUCGGGAGCCGUGGGAUCCUCCUCACGUCAGCGGCUCCUGGGAUGGAAAGGAAGACGGAAUCGAGGGGCAGGAGUUUAAAUAUGGAACACUGAAAAGCAGGAGCUCCACGUUGAGGCACAUCAGAGAGGCUGAGUGGCGGCACGCUGGGAGCUGUGAGACGUGGAGAGCUUUGCAGGACCUGACCGUCACUGGGACUCCAUCUUGCAGACUGGAUUCAGGGGAAGCGUCGGCAUGGACUUCAAAGGGCACAGGAUCAAGCCCGCAUUGAGGGGCUCAAAAUACAAAUGUAGGAGCCUCAGUUUAGGCGUCCAUUUCUUAAUACCUCGUCCCACGCCAGUAAUACCCUCUGUCCCAUUCCUCUGACCUGAAAAGAGAGGAAUGCAGGUAACCUCACCAGCUCUCCUCACAGAACCUGUGGCCAAGAAGGGGGAAAUCCAAGAAACACAUUCCCCGCGCUUUGUUUGUUUUCCUCCCCUCUCUCAGGUCCCCAGAAUAACAGCCGGAGCGCUGCUCGUGGGGGAGCUCAGCCCCACUUUGAAAUUGGAACAGGAAAUGUGAGAAAUGUGGACGUUAAAAAGCAAAUGAAACAAAACAAUAUUUUCUUAGAACUCCAUCUCAUGGGCAAGUCUGGGGGGAAUCUGGAUUUGGAUAAUCUAAAUUAGGAGAGAAGUCAGGGAAACAAAGAGUAAUUUUAAACAGUGGAGUGCCAGGGCUAUUUCUUAACACGCUGCUCGCUCUGAUUUCAAAUACGGUCCCUCGGCGCUCAGCCCAGGAACAGUGUGAGGAAGUGGAAAGAAGGCCGGAAUGGAGCGGGCUGCUGGGAGAGGCAGCAAGGGAUGAAGACGGGAAGCUCCUCUGGCAAAUGUCACACAGAUCAGAUGAGAUGGAUACAAUAGCCCUGUGUUUCUGAACAUGUGCUUUUCAAAAAAAUUGAUGGAUUCUCUCAGACUUAUAUCAGAGGCAGACUUUUGGGUACCUAAAGACAACUUUGGGGCUGGCAAGGCAGCUCCUGUGCCAAGCAGCUUGUCAAGGCCAUAUCCCAGGAACGUUUAUUGGCAGAAGAGUCUUUGUUUCUUAGAAGUUCAUCAGCUCGCCAUCUGUUUCUCCCAUGAUGUCACCGCUCUCACUUUUGCCUCAUCGUUACUGCCACGGCAAUCAAUCAGAACUGGAUGCCUCAAAUGUCUGACCUUCAGGAAGAAUUAAAAAGCGGAACUGAAAGGAGAUGAAGAACAAAUAAAAAAAGGAUAAUGGGAAUCAAACCAGAGAAAAAACAACGGUUCAGCCUCUGAUUGCCUCUAAAUGUGAUUCUUCUUCUGCAUUAUGGCAUCAUCUUUCAAGAAUAUUUUAAAGUUGGCUUCCAAAUAAAAACUGUUUGAAUUUAUAGACUUUAAGAGGUAGUUAAUAAUGUUCUCAUAGUGUUUUUAAAAAGUGAUUUU